rnacentral:rRNA from 1 species
UUUAUUGAGAGUUUGAUCCUGGCUCAGGACGAACGCUGGCGGCGUGCCUAACACAUGCAAGUCGAGCGAGGAGA